rnacentral:lncRNA from 1 species
AGGAAUAUGCUGAAGAGAUGAAGAAAAUAAAUUCAAGACAAAGAAGAUAAGGAAUCAGCUAAAAAGAAUGAACAUUAUCCAAAACCUUAUCCAAUCUUAUCUUAUCCAAACUAACCUUAUCUUAUCUUAUCCUAUCCUAAUUUUAUCCUACCUUAAUUCCAGCUACAAUGGGGACUUAUUUUCAGAUUAGGAUACCUACAAAUCAUGUUUCUAGAAGCCCUAUCACUUAUCCUAAGAAUGUGCUGUACCUAGCCUUCUAGAAAUCAUAUUUCCUACUGCAAAGAACAAUCAUUUUCCUCCCUAGAAUCUGAAAUUGAAUAGUCCUUAUUCCUUGAUGAUUUUGAGUCCUAAUUCUCCUCCUACUCACCCUA